rnacentral:rRNA from 1 species
CGGAGCCUCGAGUGGUGACCAUGGUUAUUGGGCCUAAAGCGCCCGUAGCCGGAUUAUUAAGUUCUCGGUGAAAUUGUCUAGCUUAACUAGACGAAUUGCCUUGAAUACUGUUAAUCUAGGGAUAGGGAGAGGUCAGUAGUAUGCUUAGGGGAGGGGUAAAAUCCUUUAAUCUAUUGAUGACCACCUGUGGCGAAGGCGGUCUACCAGAACACGUCCGACGGUGAGGGAUGAAAGCUGGGGGAGCAAACCGGAUUAGAUACCCGAGUAGUCC